rnacentral:rRNA from 2 species
UGACCCGUCUUGAAACACGGACCAAGGAGUCUAGCGUGUGCGCGAGUCAUUGGGAAAAACUAAACCUAAAGGCGAAAUGAAAGUAAACGUCCGCCUUGUGCGGACCGAGGGAAGAUGAUCGGCCUACAUGGCCGAUCCGCAUUCCCGGGGCGUCUCAUUCUCAUUGCGAGACGAGGCGCACCAAGAGCGUACACGCUGGGACCCGAAAGAUGGUGAACUAUGCCUGGUCAGGACGAAGUCAGGGGAAACCCUGAUGGAGGUCCGUAGCGAUUCUGACGUGCAAAUCGAUCGUCGGAACUGGGUAU